rnacentral:rRNA from 1 species
CCUACGGGAGGCAGCAGUGAGGAAUAUUGGUCAAUGGGCGGAAGCCUGAACCAGCCAAGUCGCGUGAGGGAAUAAGGCCCUACGGGUCGUAAACCUCUUUUGCCGGGGAGCAAGGGCGGGGACGCGUCCCGGCCCGGAGAGUACCCGGAGAAAAAGCAUCGGCUAACUCCGUGCCAGCAGCCGCGGUAAUACGGAGGAUGCGAGCGUUAUCCGGAGUUAUUGGGUUUAAAGCGUGCGUAGGCGGGCUUUUAAGCCGGCGGUAAAAAGUCGGGGCUCAACCCCGGCCGGCCGUUGAAACUGGGUGCCGUGAGUGGGCGAGAAGUAGGCGGAAUGCGUGGUGUAGCGGUGAAAUGCAUAGAUAUCACGCAGAACCCCGAUUGCGAAGGCAGCAUACCGGCGCCCUACUGACGCUGAGGCACGAAAGUGCGGGGAUCGAACAGGAUUAGAUACCCGUGUAGUC